rnacentral:lncRNA from 1 species
AAGGGUCCCUUAGGAAAUUUGCACAUCACACUUUCUGUAACUACGAGUGGAAAACAAACUCUAGAGGAGUGCCUGCUGCAAACUACUGAACUGUCUACAAGGACAUAAUGUUUUGCCACGUAAAUGGAUCAACCAAAAGUCUGCAAGUCUGGGCUGUGAGGACUACUUUGGAAAGUUCACGACUGCAGCUACUAUUUUGUGGAGCAACAGUGACAACCAGCGGCCAGUCACCUAAAACUGGCCAAAUUGUUCAUUGUGGAUGUCCUUCAGAUUACCAGCCACCCACAUCCAUUCUUCAAAGACAAUCAAUUUCAACAGUUUGUUUGUAA